ensembl:snoRNA SNORA70 Small nucleolar RNA SNORA70
CUGAAGCCAGUUAAGCUGACCCUGCUACCUUCCCCAUAGCACCCUGUAUGCAAUAGCUGCAAAUAGCAACCACCAGGGUAGUCUAUGUGGCCUUUUGCUUGUACAGGCUGCCCUAAGGGACUUUCAGCU